UGUUGGGAUACUGCCAGGGAGAUAAAGUCCAUCAUGGCCCCCAAGCCGUCUGCCGGACGAUCCAUCGACCUCCCGUAGGCACGCAGCGACAUGAGUUUCUAGAAAAUAUCUUGCCACAUUCCAGACUCAUGCACGCUCUAUCAGCAGAUAAAGCACAGCCAAAAGUUGCACUCAGGAGAGCAUUAUUUACAAGUUUAUUCAGCGUUGAUCAGAACACAGAAAAACAUGACUGCCUGCUGAUUUAGUGUCUGCGACACCAGAGAGAAAACGAAAGCAACAGAAAACAUAAACAUCCUGUGAACAGGAAAUACGCAGACUCUGACUCACAAAGCCUGCUCCCUUUUAAGGUGGAACGGAAAUAUCCUAACAUCCUCCCCUUUCCGUGUAACCUGUAGUACCUGUGGUUCAACCCAAUUGCAACCUUUGUACGUAAACCUUAAGUUGUUCUCUGUUAACAACCUUAGACAACAGAUCAGCAGGAAUUUCAUUUCCUGGCAUGUAGGACACCUGAAUGAGUCCUUUCUGAAUACACUCCCUUGCACGAUGUAGCUUAAUCUGCAAGUACUUGGUCCUUUGCUUGCAACUCUCCGAGUUCAGCAAAGCCAAACACGAUCUAUUGUCUUGAUACACUUGUACAGGACAUUUCACAGAAACUCUGAUGUCCUUAAACAGUUGCAUCAACCAUUCACAAUCCAUGAGUGAAAAUGACAGAGCAUUGAGUUCUGCUUCACAGGAACUUAGGCUCACUGUCGUCUGCUUUUGCACAACCAGUCAAACAGGCAGUGGUUGUACAUGUAGCAUACUCCAGAAGUGCUUGUACCAUCCGUGGUGUCACUUCCAAAACUUGCAUCUGCAAAAAUUUCAAGACCUCCAGUCUUCUGACUGGUGAACCUCAGCCUGUAGUGCAAAGUCCCUUUCAAAUAGCGGGCUAUGCGCUUCAGAGCUUUCCAAUCCUGAACAGUAGGAUUGUUGGCAUGUCUGCUAAGCAGGUUACAGCUUACAGCUAUGUCAGGUCUUGAGCAUCUAGCAAUGAAAUUCAACUUGCCUAGAAUGCAUCUGUACAGCGUUGUGUCAGAAAACGCUUCAGCAGUACUGUCUACCUGGUAACCUGUCACCAUCGGUGUGUCUGCUGGGUUUGCAUCAACCAAAUUCAACCUGGUUAAUACAUCAGCAAUUUUCUGUGUUUGGUGUACCAGAAAAUUACCUGCUUGGUCCCUCUCCACCUGCAGAGAAAGAUAGUUGGAUACCUCACCAAGAUCCUUCAUGUCAAAGUGCUCCUUCAGCUGAGCUAGGGUGCUUUGGUAGAAAGCCUGAUUCUUCCAAAACAUCAGAAGAUCAUCAACAAAACAUAAACAAUACAGUUUGUUUUGCCCCUCCUCCUUGACAAACACACAUGGAUCAGCUUUGCCCUGGUGAAAACCUAGAGAAAGCAAUGUCUCAGUGAGCUUUGUGUUCCAACACCUGGCACUCUGCUUGAGACCAUAUAAGGAUUUCCGCAGUUUACAGACCAUUCCCUUCUGUAUCUGCAUCCCAUCAGGUGGAAGCAUAAACAGCUCCUCCUCCAAAAUCCCGUACAAAAAAGCUGUAUUAAUGUCAUGAUGGGAAACAUGCAGUUUCUCCUCUGCAGCUAUCUUGAGCAUCAGCCGAAUGCUCUCAUAUUUGACUGUGGGUGAGUAGGUCUCGUGGUAAUCCUGUCCUGGUACCUGUGAAAAACCUCUGGCAACCAAUCUGGCUUUGUGUCUGACAACCUUGCCAUUCUGGUCUGUCUUGGCCUUGAAGACCCAUUUGCUGCCAACCAGUCUCAUUCCUGGGACUACCGGUACCAGUUCCCAAGUUUGGUUCCUAUUCAAGGAAUCAACUUCAGCCUUCAUGGCAUUAAGCCAAGGCUCAGCAUCUUUAGAGGUUAACUCCUGAACCUCUUUGAAGCUUGAAGGUUCCCACACCUUCUCUGAGCUACUAAGAACAGCAGUUGCUGUCUUAGCAAACUCAUCAGCAAAUCUCUUUGGAGGUCUGCCCUUCGUGGCUCUUUCAGAUCUGCGUACUAGACGCAAGUCUUCUGGACUCAUCUCCUCCUUCUUAGGAGAAAAGUGACCAAUGGUGAACAGUGGUUCUUCCAGUUCAUUGUCAGACGCAUCAGAUGGUCUGACUGAGGCCUUUGCGCUCUUGUAGUCUGCUGUGUCAUCACUGUCACUGACACCAGCAGCAGCGCCGCCCACUGAACUGGAAUCCGAACUCUGAUCAUCAUCGUCAUCAUCAUCCUCAGCAGCUUCCUCAGCUUUAGCUGCUUCUUUGACAUCACCUUCAUCCUCCUCUGGGUAACUCUGGAAAAUUCCCACAUUUUCCCCCCACUUAGGAUUGUACUCAACACUCUUUGUGAACUUAAUGGACUUAGAGUUGGUCAUCCAUACCCUGUAUGCACCUUUUCGUACCCCAUGAACAAACCAUGUGCCCCACGCUUCCCAAGCUUGUUGCUCUGUGGGGUGUGUACCCACAUGUCAGAACCAAAGAUUCUCAUGUGUUUGAUGUUGGGUUUCUUACCAAACAUCUUCUCAUAGGGAGUACAACCAAUAGGUGAUGACAAUCUGCGAUUAUAAGUGUAAGCAAAAUUCGACAGAGCCUCCCCCCAAUACUUAUCAGGGAGAUUGGCAUCAUGCAACAAUGUUUUCAUUCCUUGCAGCAACGUUUGAUUUGCUCGCUCCGCAAGCCCAUUCAUCCAUGGCGAUCUAGGCGUUGACAAGUCAUGCUGGAUUCCCUUCUCAGUCAGGAAAGCUUCAAACUGCUGAGAAGUGAACUCCCCGCCUCGAUCAGUAAACAGACAGCCAAUACGUUUACCGUGAACAUUCUCCAACCAAGCACAGAAUGCCUUGAACUUAGGAAACGCUUGCGAUUUCUGCUCGAGCAUAAACACAUGAAUGUACCUGGAAAAAGAAUCAAUUAGAACCAUGAAGUACCUUGCUCCACCCAAAGAGGGCGCAAGUGGACCAACCAGGUCUGCGUGCACUAGCUGGUAGGGUUUGGAAGCCUGCCUGCUAGACUCCUUGCCUUUUGGAGCAACCUUCACCUUGUUCUCUGCACAAGAUACACAUUUCAUGUGAAACUUACAGGGUUUGAUGUUCAAACCCUCAACCAUCUCUGGCAUCUUGGCCAGCGCCUGCCAAGACAUGUGACAAAAUCUUCUGUGUGCAUCAUGAAUGCAUCCUGCAUGAAGAACUUUGUUAGUUUGUGCAACACAACAAGAAUCAGCAUUAGACACAACAGCACCAAUGUCAUCAUAAGUUAUACAGAACAAGCCAUCCAUAAACUUUGCAUGCAAAAUGUCCUCUUUGCCUUUUCUGAUGACACAGACGCUCCUCUUGAAGGAAAUCUCAAAACCACGCCCAGUCAGCUGUGGGACACUGAGCAAAUUGUCUGCAGCACCUGGAACAUAUAGUACAUCUUUGAUGGUAGUGUGCAGACUUGCCAGUUUCACAGUCCCUUCUCCUGCGAUUCGCAACGUCUUUCCAUCAGCCAGGUGGAUCUCACCUUCUUGAGGUUUGAAGGAGAUAAAGAGAUGGCGGUCUUUUGAGACAUGGCGGGUACAGCCUGAAUCAACAACAAACCUGGCCUUGGCCUUUGGAGCAGUCUUUGCUAGCAAGCAAAACCUUGUUUUCCACCGGCGUGGGCUUUGCAGCUUGCCCCCUGCUCCUGGCCAUCAGACUUGCCUUUAGCCUUUGGUGAGGCUGUGCCAGCAAACAAAACCUUGUUUUCCACUGGCGUGGGCUUUGCAGCUUGCCCCCUGCUCCUGGCCAUCAGACUUGCCUUUAGCCUUUGGUGAAGCUGUGCCAGCAAACAAAACCUUGUUUUCCACUGGCGUGGGCUCUUCACCCUCCCUCUGCUUCUGGCCAUCUGCAGGCGUCUGCCUCUGUUUACCUUUGCCCUUCCGGCCUCUGCAAAGGCGAUGACCUUGGUUCCCAUGAGAAACAGAGCUCUCAGCUGCCGACUCCUUGGCUCCCCCUGGAGGCUGGAAUGCUGCCUGGGAUGACGUGACAGUCAGCUCCCCUGCAGCUUGCAACCGGUGCCCUCAGCAUCCCUGCAUUCACUCGCAUUCUGGGAAACAGCCAGGACCUCCGAUGCAGUCAAACUCUGGGCUGGGAUGACUGGCAGAUGGGCUAUCUUCAAAGCAUGCCACAUCUUACGUGCAGUCAGAUUGCCAGCAAGCGUCUUUAUUUCCUCCAGAGAGACGGACAAGACGAUGUACGUCUAUCGCCUUCGAAUUUUCGGCCCUCCAUCUAUCUGUCAGAGGAACUGGAGGGCUUCAGACACAGUAUGCCACACUCCAAACUGACGCAGCAAACUCUCACACCAUUUUGCCCAGGUCUGAUAGUUGUGCCGAUUUAACUUUGGGCACUCAGCAGCCUCAGAAGCCUGGAAAAACUCCAUUCCAGGUUUCUACUUGAGCCGUGAAUCUUAUUCACUUCAGAGACGUCUUAUCUCAGCAGCUCAUUAAUCACGAGGCCUGUUGGCGCGACUCCCAGAUCCAAUUAGGCCUGCCGGACAUUCAAAGGCUCUUGCCGCGGCAAACAGAAAAGCCUCACUUUCGCUUUUCCUCCACAUACCUUUCAGCAGUCUGUCGCAGUCUUACUCUCCUGUAAGUGCUGUGAAUCUGGGCCCAUAACCUGUUGUUGGGAUACUGCCAGGGAGAUAAAGUCCAUCAUGGCCCCCAAGCCGUCUGCCGGACGAUCCAUCGACCUCCCGUAGGCACGCAGCGACAUGAGUUUCUAGAAAAUAUCUUGCCACAUUCCAGACUCAUGCACGCUCUAUCAGCAGAUAAUGCACAGCAAAAAGUUGCACCCAGGAGAGCAUUAUUUACAAGUUUAUUCAGCGUUGAUCAGAACACAGAAAAACAUGACUGCCUGCUGAUUUAGUGUCUGCGACACAGAGAGAAAACGAAAGCAACAGAAAACAUAAACAUCCUGUGAACAGGAAAUACGCAGACUCUGACUCACAAAAGCCUGCUCCCUUUUAAGGUGGAACGGAAAUAUCCUAACACU
rnacentral:lncRNA from 1 species